AUCCCGAAGUCGUACGGCCCGAUCCAACAGAAAUGUAAAAUGUGCACUGUCGAGGGUCGAACGGCGCGAACCAUAGAUGCAUCUAUUACCCCGCUCGCGAACCAUACAUGUGACGCGGUCAAAUUUAAAUAAACAAUCACCCUGUUCGCGAAUCAUACAUGCGACGCAUGUACACAUAGAAAUACAUGCUCAAACAGCCAAUUAAGAAUUUGUCGGGGAACAUUUAUCCAAAUAAAAGCCAAUUCUCUUUUAACAAUUUAAGAAAUUGAAGUUUAAUCCUUUUAGAAAUUCAUUUACCAAUUCGAUAAGAUUUAAGCAAUUCAACUGUCAAUAAGAUUACAGAUAUUCCAAGUAUAGCAUGCUUUUGGGUCCUAGACUACCCGAACUUACAUAUAUUAGUAGCUACGCACAUACUCUCGUCACCUCGUGAAUAUGUAGCCCCCACAAAUAGGAGCACAUAACCAAUUAUUUCACCUGUGGGGACAAUUCCCUCGUACAAGGUUAUAAAGGAGACUCACCUCGCUCCGAAGAUCCAUAACCGGCCUCCCACGCCCUUCCGAAGACUCAAAUUGAUGCACAACGCUCCAAAACUAGCCAAUAAUUAUGCAAAUUCAUCAAUAUAUGCUCAAUUAUUCAUUACAAUCCAAUUUAUAGCAAUUCCUAACCUCGAUUGAAAAAGUUGACAAAAUUUCCUUCGGGCCCACGUGCCCGAAUUCCUAAAUUUUUCGAAGAUAAAGUUUACCCAUGAACUCACGAACUCAACUAUAUGAUUUUCUCUUAAUUUCAUGCCCAAAAUCGUGGUCAAAAUUCAUGAAUAUCAAAUUUUCUUGGUCUUCCUCAAAACCCCAAAGUUUCUACAGAUUUCCUUGUCUAAAUCCAUAUAUAAAUCUUGUAUUUACUCAAAAUUAGUAGAAAUCACUUACCUCAUGCUUGGUGUUGAAAAUGACACUCCAAAGUUGCUCCAAAAUCGGCUCCCAUGGAAUAAAUAAAGUGAAAAUGAGCCAAACUCCGAUUUUAAAAGAACACUGCCCAGGCGACCCUUCUAUGCGAUCGCAAACAAUGCUCCGUGAUCGCAUAGGCCAACUAUGCUGCCUCCCUAAUGCCCACUGUGCGAUGGCAACUCCAACCCCGUGAUCGCAUAAGCCUUCAACCUGUAGCCCCAGCCUUCCUCCUCCGCGAUCGCGUUGCACUUCCUGUGAUCACAUAGGCCAAAUUCCAGCUCCCUCAACUCUUGAUCUAUGCGAUCGCAGACCCGCUCACGCGAUCGCAUAGAGUAAAAACCUGCUGCACUUAUACCAGAAAACCAGCAAUCCUCACAAGGCAAGAAUCAAUCCGUUGAGCAUCCGAAACACGCCCGAGGCCCCCGGGACCUCAACGAAACCUACCAACCAAUCCCAAAAUACAUUACGAACUUGCUAGAGGCCUCAAACAAUAUCAAACAAUGCUAAAACCACGAAUCAACCUCCAAUCUAAACUUCAUGAACUUUAGAAUUUCAAACUUCUACAUUCGAUGCUGAAACCCAUCAAAUCACGUCCGAUUGACCUCAAAUUUUGCACGCAAGUCAUAUUCGACAUUACGGACCUACUCCAACUUCCAGAAUCGGAUUCCGACCCCAAUAUCAAAAAGUCAACUUCCGGUCAAACUUCUCAAAAACCUUCAAAUUUCUAUCUUUAGCCAAAUGACUCCAAAAUGACCUACGGACAUCCGAAUUCACUUCCGAUCGCGCUCCCAACUCCAAAAUCACCAUACGGAGCGAAGACCAGACUCGGAAUCCCAAACGGAUAUCGAUAAUGCUGAAAUGCACUUCAAGCCAAACUUAUGAAAUUUCUUCCAAAAUGCUAACUUCCACAAUAGGCGCCAAAACGCUCCCGGGUCAUCCAAAACCCGAUCCGGGCAUACGCCCCAGUCCGAAAUCAUCAUACGAACCUGCUGGAACCUUCAGAUCUCGAUUCCGAGGUCGUUUGCUCUAAAAUCCAAUCUUAGUUAAUUCUUCCAACUUAAAGCUUCCGAAAUAAGAAUUCUGUGAUCAGUAUUNNNNNNNNNNNNNNNNNNNNNNNNNNNNNNNNNNNNNNNNNNNNNNNNNNNNNNNNNNNNNNNNNNNNNNNNNNNNNNNNNNNNNNNNNNNNNNNNNNNNNNNNNNNNNNNNNNNNNNNNNNNNNNNNNNNNNNNNNNNNNNNNNNNNNNNNNNNNNNNNNNNNNNNNNNNNNNNNNNNNNNNNNNNNNNNNNNNNNNNNNNNNNNNNNNNNNNNNNNNNNNNNNNNNNNNNNNNNNNNNNNNNNNNNNNNNNNNNNNNNNNNNNNNNNNNNNNNNNNNNNNNNNNNNNNNNNNNNNNGCUGCUCAUGGCCUCAAACUGCUUAACGGCGCGCUAGAGCUCAAAACGACUGGUCGGGUCGCUACAUUCUCUCACACUUAAACAUACGCUCAUCCUCGAACAUGCUAGGAACUGUGCUGGAGUUGUCCAAAAUCACUGUUUAACACCUCGAGCACCUACCCGUGCUACCACAACUCACCUGGGCACAUUAGCUCGAUCAAUUCUGAAGAUAUUCCCUUUUAUUCAAGAAAAUUAGCUUAGAGACCAAUUCCAACAUCUCGAAUUCUCUGCCAGGCCUGCUUCCAAUAUGUGAACACCGUAUCAAUAACUACACACAGCACCAAAACAUGACUGUAUAUCUUAUCUGAAUUCACACCUUACACCACUUUACUCACAAGACUACAAUGACAUUCUCUGAUCAAAUAAACCGAAAUUUCACGAAUCUGAUGCUCCCAUUGCACCUCAUGACCUACUUAGGUCUUGCUCUAACUCUGCCAAUACCGCCACGACGGAAGAGAUGUGUAGAAAUUCAUAACCAGCUGCCGAAUCAACAGAUCAUUAGGUCUAUACUCCUGACAAGAACCAUCACCUCAUUCUGAACCAAAUAAUGGUCUUAGAUCCUUAAUAUACUUCAUAUAAUCAGAUUGCACUGAUCCUAAAUCCAAGGAUCUCAUCUCACCCAGUACGAACUGCUCAGGCAAUAAGCCACCCAGACAUGACCAAAAGUCUCAUGUGAUGCCACAGUGUGCCAAUAGGCUACCAAUUCAAAUGCGAUACAAAAGGAAAACGAACUCUGAAAAGGAAAUCCAAUUACCCCGCUCGCGAAUCAUACAUGCGACGCGGUCAACAUAAUUAAACAAAUACCCCGCUCGCGAAUCAUACAUGCGAUGCGGGCACACAACUAAUAUGAGUUUUCCUCAGAAAGAUAGGAAAGAAAACACAUAAAAACAGAUAUGGAGAACUGUACUGAACAUCACACUGUUGCGACAUGCAACCCGAUCCAAAUAACAUACCCAUGGCGGCGUGUCACCUGAUCCACACAUAGAACUCACAUAAGGAUAUAUACAUCGAGCUAAAUUGCUCAUUACAGCAAGAUACCGAAUAUCGGUCACAAGCACGCUAGGUGCAUAAUACCAUUUCCCUGGGGAGACAUAUAGCGCUAUAAGCUACGAGAAAUUUUAUUUUGAUUGAGACUCAACCAACAAAACUUAUAUGAGGCACCUCUGCCUAUUUGACAAGUGGAAAUAUGGGUCCCACAUGUCAGCUCCCUCCUUUUAUCUCUCUGAUACUUACGUGUUUCCCAUUUCACCAUCUCAUUUCUAUCUUUUUUACCCAAUUUUACUUAAGAGUGGGUCCUACAUUACUUUUUUUACCUACUUAUGCUCAUGUUUCUCUCAGCAGUAAUAUUCAAUCCAUUUUCUUCUUUCAGCUUUUACUAAACUUCAUCAUCUCUUUAAUUUUGAGUUAAAUGCAUUUCGUUCCUCUCCUUCUCCAAUGCAGUCUCGCAGAAUCCAACCAUCAAAUAUUUUAAUUAACACUUUCAACUCAAACAAUGAUUCAAAUUUAGCAUAUGCCACCAAAAAUCAAACAAUAAAAUACACAUAAAAAUUCAAACCUAGAAUCCCAUAUCAUCACAAAAGAAAAGGUCUUCAAACCUAAAGAUAUUCAAAGUUGUAUCCAAGCAACAAUAUUAAAAUUAAAUGAUAAAUGUGAAGUUGAGUUUACAUCACUGAACACCAGUGAAAUGUCAGAUUAAUAAGUUUCAACCAAACUAUUGAUCAGACAAUUACAAAUUAGGAACUAGAAAGCAUAGAUAUCUCAAAAAAUCAAUGAUUCUCCCGCAAAAAUAUUUUGCCCAUCAUUUUUCUAUUUUAAAAUACAGAGAAAAAAAUUCAGUCAUUCUUCUUUUUAGACUCUUGAAUUUGGACAAGCAUACAUGAACAAACGACCCUAAAAAUCCACCUAUUUCGUUCCUUUUAGAAAAGGAGUAGAAGAUAGAGGAGAAAAGUUGACUGUUUUUUCAUUUUGUCAUCUCGUAAAGUUGGUAAAAAUAUGAGAGGGAAUUGAGAAAGGGGAUGGAAACAUGUUGGACCCAUAUUUCCACUUGUCAAAUAGGUAGAGGUGCCUCAUACAAGUUUUGUUGGUUGAGUCUUACUCAAAAUAAAAUUUCUCAUAAGCUACGAACUCAAGCACAACUGAGGUACGAUAUACGAUAUAAAUCUCAAGAGCCAUCCUGCUCAUAUAACGUCAUCUCUAUGCGGAACCUCAACACAUAAGAAAUUCACCAAGCCGUCUCACAACUCAUACGGCGCAAUAUAUCAUUACAUGAAAUGGCUGAUGAUGAAAUAGCACCCCGACUACUCUUCCAUUAGGAGCGCAUUACUGAAAUGAACACAUCUGGCCUGAUAUAGAGCCCAUAUUCACAUUUAGAUCCAUCCACAAACCUCAAGCUAAUUCUGAUCACACUGAAAUAGUCUAAUAACCCUUCAAAGGUCCAUAAUGACCCCCUUUUUCUCACAACACACAAGAGCAACCAUCAUAACCGGAGUAAUCCUCCAUAGUCCACAACCCAAUAAAUCGAGUGCCCUCCAUGCAUCAAUUCUCAAUUUAACGAUAUCACCACAAUCUUCAUACUUGGUUUAACUCUUCAAUCAAUCAAGUGACUACAUGCCACACUUAUACCACCUUCCCGUGGGGCACGCUCUCACAACCUUCCGUAACGGAUAACAGGUCUGUACACCCAGACCACCGGUUGCACUAACGCUGAAAAGCGAUCAAGAAUCCUUAGCCUGGAUGCAAAGCCUUUUUUCACAAAACACUGAUCUCAGGUGACGCUGAAGACAAUACUAACUUACUUUAAACAUCGAAACCCCUUUCCUACUCAUCCGAGCUCGUGACAUCCUUGUCAACACCAGAAUGCAACCUUGAUCCUCACUUCAAAUUCCAUACCACUCAUUGCACCUAACAUGCCAAUAUACGAUAGAACAUAAUUUUCAUCAUAACUCCGGAACCAUUAAUAGAUUAACAUUUCAUCAUAUAAGAACUUUUCACUUAACUCACUUCAGGAGAAUCAUAGCAACACAUAGGUGAAUUCUCAUAACUGUAGAAUGUGUCAAUCUCUAAGUAGUGGUCUAAGACACCAUAGCCCUCCCGGGAUCCGCCUAUACAUAACAGGCCAUAACAGUAGAAUGCUUCUGAAGAUCAUCAAUUACGGCGGCCGACAAGCCUCACACGUACCGCCACAAAUCACAUGCAUAACUUGAUCACGCUGAAGGGACUGAUCUCUACCACCGACAUGCCAACUCAACUAUGGCUAACCAAUCCAUCUUCUUUCGAUUUACCCUGAUUGCCUUACGAAUAAUAAUAACUCCUUUCAACACAUAACACACUCCAUUCGCACUCACCUCGAAUGACCUUGAAUCACGAGACCAUGCUGUCUCAAAUCCCUUGAACCAUUUCAUACGUUCUUUGUGCGCACAUUCGCACCCUCAACUGAUAUGCCCAUUCUGAUGAUCCUUCUACGAAUCCGAUAUCUUUUCUCAUUUUCCUCCCAAAUGCUAUACUGCAAGUCAAAACAUCGUAGAACAUUCAGUGCCUCUUCUCAUAAGCUGCUACAAAGCUUAAUUCUUAACUGUACCUAUAGGCUCGCAAUCAUUAGGCACCACACUUUGCCCCUUUGAAUCCUCUAGGACCAUUGUUGAGAGCCACCCGCUCUGACUUGGCCCCGGAUAUAAUCAACUCCAUGAAUCUUCUAGCACAUGAAUACCCUCUCGAUGAAGCACCUGGCAGAAUCACUUCCCUUGAAAUCCGCAUCUAUACAAGGCAUAAAUCCUGAAUCCUUCCCCAAGUCUGAACAUGGGCCAAUAAAGCCAACCAUAGCACCCCUUUUACAAUUUCUUUGCUCAAAUUACCACUUAUGUUCUUCCCCGUAGCUGAAAUAACCUAUCAAUAUGCUAAUAACCAGAAACCUCACAAGUAGUUAAUCAUGCAACCCAAUCAUAAGCGGUGGGACUCUCCCACUUAGCUUGAAGCCACUAUUACACUCUGGAAUUCACUGAGGUUCUUUAUCUCUUAUUGACAUAACCUUACGCAAUCAACCGCCAAAAUUCUCGGAAUUUUUUCUAUAAAACCCCCUUUUUAUACUCUGAAUUAUCAACCACAUUCGUAUGACCGAUCUCUUUGCUGUAUAACCAAUAGAAUUCUUUGCAGAAGCCUCGCCAACCACGGGACCGCUAACCUGGUCAAAGGGAAUAACCCACCUGUGGAAGUCACUUCCCGACAUCUUCCAACGCUGCUGCACGGGGUACAAUUGCUAUGACAUCGAUUACCCAUACUGAGUCCGAGCUCACUCUCUAGUUGCACAAGUACAUUCACCCCUCAUGGACAUCAAUUAAAUGUGUGGCAACAUCUUCUAAUUCAAAGUUAUGUUGUAUCCUUCUUCAUUUCAAGCAGCUCCUUCCUGUUAUAUCAAAUCUCUUGCCGCAUAAUAGCUCAUACUUCAAAUUAAAUCUGUAGACCCUAAUCACCAAUCACUAAAAUUCCCAAGUCAUUCCAAACUCUCCUUAAGGUGCAUAGUCAUCCUACCACAAUGCCCAUAUGCAACUCCGCCACUCUCCCACUUUGGCGGAACUCAUCCCUUUAAUCGGCUACUCGACCUUUGCUUCUUAUACUUGGCCUUCUAGAAAUUUUAGCCGCCGCCUGACACUCUCCACAUGUCCUUCCUCAUCCUUUACUGCUCAGUUGUUGCCAUAUAUAAAAUCUAUCUUUGUAGCACUUGAACCCACAAUCGCUACUAACUUUAAACAUUUCUGAAGAUCAUCUUUCUCAAGCCGUCAACAUUAGAAACACCGAUUCAAUCCUGAACCACCACACCCCGCGAUAUCUAACAGUCAUUUCUCCAAUAUUAUUUCACAAUGUCCUACUCCAAGGCGAAUUGCAGAAGACCAUAACACCGGCGAACUUAACACAUACAAUCGAGGACAACGACACUACAUCGUAGAUGAAAAUUCCAUCACGCUCGAAAAUAUCAAGUCUCGUUACCCCAUCAACCCGAAUCUGAACAUUUUUAGCCCGAUUGCCUUUCCCCUGCCGGGAAUAAAAUACCGAAUCUCUAGAUCAUGCACUAAGUAAACCUCCCUUCAAGUCAUUCCCUGCCCCGAUAAGUAGGAAAACAUCCUACCAUCAUAUCAAUACUACGGAACAAUCAUUCAUAAGCAUCAUGGCAACUUGUGCCUAGCCUCAGAGCUCUCAGAAGUACCGCUACUGGGCUGAAACAAUAGAAUAUCCUUCCACAAGGCGAAAAUAAUAGUCCAAUCAACUAUACCGGUAGAAACACCCCGCACCACAUCUGUAGUACCAUUUCAAUUAUUAAAUCCUCGAUUUACAACAAGCGAUUCGCGUCGCGUAAGAUUGAGUAGGAAGGAAACAAGGGCAUAAGCCUCGAGGAAUCAAAUCGCACGACAAGGAAUCAAGAAGGGAAGUACUCCUAACAGCCCUGUAGCCUCCCGAAGAUAAGUACAGACGUCUCCAUACCAAACCGCGAGACUCUACUAGACUUGCUCAUGACUCGUGAGACCUAAGGGAACCUAGUACUCUGAUACCAUGUUGUCACGACCCAAAAUUCACUAAGGGUCGUGAUGGCGCCGGACACCAUUGUCAGGCAAGCCAACCACAAUUUACUAGCAAUUUCUCAUUUUAAUUAUUUAGAAAACAUUUCCCUUUAAACAAAUAACUAAUAAAUAAUAAACUCCGCUGGAUAAAUGAGGAUGUUUUUACAAAAUUUAACUACUGAAAAAUCCCGUGAUCAUCCCAGAUCCGGUAUCACAACUGCAUGAGCAAUUUCUAAGAAAUAAUGUAGUACAACAACCAUCCGGAAUACAAUACUGGACAAAAAAUAAAUACAGUAAUCUGAAAGAGACUUGCUAGCUGCGGGUCGUCUCGGAAAUGCAGCUCACCUAAGUCUCUAUGUCAACCAUGCUGCUACGCUCACUAGGGCACUAGAGAUGCAUGUGCAUGUACAACAAAGAUGCACAGAAGUAUAGUAUGAGUACAAAAGACAACGUGUACCCAAUGAGUAUCCCGUCUAAUCUCGAAGAAGUAGAGACGAGAGGUCGACUUCGACACUUACUACUGGUCCAAUAAUGUUAUAUCAAAUAUAAAUUAAAUCGUGGAUUUUUAUAAACAUGAUUAUAGUCCGAUAGGUUGAAGCAAGUAAACAAUUCUCUCUUUUAUAGGAAAUUUCUAAAUUCCUUUUCAACAUUUAUACAUAUAUUCUUAAGCGAGGAAGAGGAAACAACAACUUUAAUAAGUUUCAAGGCAAGCAAUACAAGCAUGCACAAAUCAUGUCGAGGUCAUACGACCCGAUCCAACAUAAAUGUAAAAUGUGUACUACCGAGGGUCGAACGACGCGAACCAUAGAUGCAUCUAUUACCCCGCUCGCGAACGAUACAUGCGACGCGGUCAAAUUUAAAUAAAUAAUCACCCUGUUCGCGAAUCAUACAUGCGACGCAUGUACACAUAGAAAUAUAUGCUCAAACAGCCAAUUAAGAAUUUGUCGGGGAACAUUUAUCCAAAUAAAAGCCAAUUCUCUUUUAAUAAUUUAAGAAAAUGAAGUUUAAUCCUUUUAAAAAUUCAUUUACCAAUUCGAUAAGAUUUAAGCAAUUCAACUGUCAAUAAGAUUACAGAUAUUCCAAGUAUAGCAUGUUUUUGGGUCCAAGACUAUCCUGGCUUACACAUAUUAGUAUCUACGCACGGACUCUCGUCACCUCGUACGUAUGUAGCCCCCACAAAUAGGAGCACAUAACCAAUUAUUUCACCUGUGGGGACAAUUCCAUCUUACAAGGUUAGAAAGGAGACUCACCUCGCUCCGAAGAUCCAUAACCGGCCUCCCACGCCCUUCUGAAGACUCAAAUUGAUUCCUAACGCUCCAAAACUAGCCAAUAAUUAUGCAAAUUCAUCAAUAUAUGCUCAGUUAUUCAUUACAAUCCAAUUUAUAGCAAUUCCUAACCCCGAUUGAAAAAGUUGACAAAAUUGCCCUCGGGCCCACGUGCCCGGAUUCCUAAAUUUUUCGAAGAUAAAGUUUACCCAUGGACUCACAAACUCAACUAUAUGAUUUUCUCUUAAUUUCACGCCCAAAAUAGUUGUCAAAAUUCAUGAAUAUCAAAUUUUCUAGGUCUUCCUCAAAACCCCAAAUUUUCUAGGUCUUCCUCAAAACCCCAAAUUUUCUAUAGAUUUCCUUGUCUAAAUCCAUAUAUAAACCUUGUAUUUAUUCAAAACUAGUAGAAAUCACUUACCUCAUUCUUGGUGAUGAAAAUGGCACUCCAAAGUUGCUCCAAAAUCAACUCCCAUGGAAGAAAUAAAGUGAAAAUGAGUCAAGCUCCGAUUUUAAAAGAACACUACCCAUGCGACCCUUCUAUGCGAUUGCAAACAAUGCUCCGCGAUUGAAUAGGCCAACUAUGCUGCCUCCCUAAUUCCUUAUGUGCAUUCGCAUGCUAGCUCCUGCGUUCGCACAGGCCAAACGCAUCACAGCCUCCAAACGCCCACUGUGCGAUUGCAACUCCAACCCCGCGAUCGCAUAAGCCUUCAACCUGUAGCCCCAGCCUUCCUCAUCCACGAUCGCAUUGCACUUCCUGCGAUCGCAUAGGCCAAAUUCCAGCUCCCUCAAUUCUUGCUCUAUGCGAUCGCAGACCCGCUCACGCAAUUGCAUAGAGUAAAAACCUGCUGCACUCAUACCAAAAAGCCAGCAAUCCUCAUAAGGCAAGAAUCGAUCCGUUGAGCAUCCGAAACACGCCCGAGGCCCCCGGGACCUCAACGAAACCUACCAACCAAUCCCAAAAUACAUUUCGGACUUGCUCGAGGCCUCAAAAAAUGCUAAAACCACGAAUCAACCUCAAUCCAAGCUUCAUGAACUUUAGAAUUUCAAACUUCUACAUUCGAUGCCAAAACCCGUCAAAUCACGUCCGAUUGACCUCAAAUUUUGCAUGCAAGUCAUAUUCGACAUUACGGACCUACUCCAACUUCCAGAAUCGGAUUCCGACCCCGAUAUCAAAAAGUCCACUUC
rnacentral:lncRNA from 1 species